AUUUCAUUUCUAUGGGGUUUUCAGGUAUUUUACUCUCUUUACCCUUUUCCAUGUCUUUCUUGUAUUUGAAUUAUUACUUAUUAGUAAUCAUUGUUCAUACUGUGUGUGCCUUUGAAUUUGAGUUUUUUUACAUGGUGAUCGUCACGGGAAGCUACAAACAACUGAUACACCAGGGCUUUUUGUAGCUUAAUUUUGGGAUUUA
rnacentral:misc_RNA from 1 species